rnacentral:rRNA from 1 species
CAGUCGCCGCGGGAAUACAGAGGGUGCGAGCGUUAAUCGGAUUUACUGGGCGUAAAGCGUGCGUAGGCGGCUUCUUAAGUCGGAUGUGAAAUCCCUGAGCUUAACUUAGGAAUUGCAUUCGAUACUGGGAAGCUAGAGUAUGGGAGAGGAUGGUAGAAUUCCAGGUGUAGCGGUGAAAUGCGUAGAGAUCUGGAGGAAUACCGAUGGCGAAGGCAGCCAUCUGGCCUAAUACUGACGCUGAGGUACGAAAGCAUGGGGAGCAAACAGGAUUAGAUACCCGCGUAGUCCCUGUCUCUUAUAC